GAGAGUGACUAUGUGGUGAAGAGAGCGUGUGAAGGAGACCUGGGUAGACAGCCGUACGCCAAGAGAGAGUGUGCACUACUCUACAGUGACAUCUUUAUCCCCUGUCACAACGUGGUGGAUGUAUCAUGGUUCUAUAGGAACUGCUUGACAGACACMUGUAACUGUAACCGAGGCGGAGACUGUGAGUGUCUGUGUACGUCCAUUGCUGCCUAUGCACACACCUGCUGUCAACACGGUGUCACUGUGGUCUGGAGAAACCCCUCUGUCUGCCCCUAUGAUUGUGAAUACUACAACCAAG